rnacentral:lncRNA from 1 species
UUGCAUUAUAAUAUUCGGGUCUUCGAGAUUCUUCAAUUCAAUGUGACAUAAGAAGAGAUAGAGCAACUUCCAUACACCGAUUGCAUAAUAAUAGCCAGAGCUAAAUCGAUCUAGUUUGUGUUCGAUAAAAUGUCUCAACCAAUCAAGUUCACAGCACAAGCUUCCUUCUCCAGGUAUUCAACCUCUAAGCUGUAACUACUUGUUGACCAUAUAAAAAUAAUUUUAAAAUGAUGAGUUAGAUGGGUGUUUGUGCUAUCAUUGACUUGUUAUAAAUAACAUACGGGUUGGACAGUGUGGUGCUUUGAUAUCCGUUCUAUAAUCAAUAACAGACAAAUAAAUUCCUGGAAUUAUCUUCAAAGUCUAUUGUUGUAUGUGUCCUUAAAUAACAUGAUUGGUUCAGUUUUUUAUGGAGUAACUGAGAUACCCGAGUAUAUGUUUAUCCAUUGUCUGUUUGUUUCUGGAGUUGGGUUUCCAAAGUUAUAA